CGGGCUGGUGCUCUACGAAAACAAAGCGGCCUAUGAGCGGCAGGUCCCACCACGAGCCGUCAUCAACAGUGCAGGCUACAAAAUCCUCACGUCCGUGGACCAAUACCUGGAGCUCAUUGGCAACUCCUUACCAGGUAAAGGAGCACCCAUCCCAGGCCAUAAUGCCCUGCACAGGCAUCUGGAGCUGGCCAGGGGAGGGGUGGCCCUGAGCCCAUUGCUUUCAGCCCCACGUUUGCGGAGAGACCAACUAGGCUUAGAGCUGUGGAUGGAGACCUCAUUGUUUGCCUUUUGCAUCUCCCUAAGUCGUUGAGAGCCUCCUGGAAGAUGUUCAGUGACCUUCCCUCAUAAACCUGUGGGUCAGCACUGUGUUCGUCAGGAGUUACUCU
rnacentral:sRNA from 1 species